rnacentral:rRNA from 1 species
UAACACCGGCGGCCCGAGUGGUGAUCGUGAUUAUUGGGUCUAAAGGGUCCGUAGCCGGUUUGGUCAGUCCUCCGGGAAAUCUGAUAGCUCAACUAUUAGGCUUUCGGGGGAUACUGCCAGACUUGGAACCGGGAGAGGUAAGAGGUACUACAGGGGUAGGAGUGAAAUCUUGUAAUCCCUGUGGGACCACCUGUGGCGAAGGCGUCUUACCAGAACGGGUUCGACGGUGAGGGACGAAAGCUGGGGGCACGAACCGGAUUAGAUACCCGGGUAGUCCCAGCCGUAAACGAUGCUCGCUAGGUGUCAGGCAUGGCGCGACCGUGUCUGGUGCCGCAGGGAAGCCGUGAAGCGAGCCACCUGGGAAGUACGGCCGCAAGGCUGAAACUUAAAGGAAUUGGCGGGGGAGCACAACAACGGGUGGAGCCUGCGGUUUAAUUGGACUCAACGCCGGACAACUCACCGGGGGCGACAGCAAUAUGUAGGCCAAGCUGAAGACUUUGCCUGAAUCGCUGAGAGGAGGUGCAUGGCCGUCGCCAGUUCGUACUGUGAAGCAUCCUGUUAAGUCAGGCAACGAGCGGGACCCGUGCCCACUGUUACCAGCAUGUCCUCCGGGACGAUGGGUACUCUGUGGGGACCGCCGAUGUUAAAUCGGAGGAAGGUGCGGGCCACGGUAGGUCAGUAUGCCCCGAAUCUCCCGGGCUACACGCGGGCUACAAUGGUUGGUACAAUGGGCAUCUACCCCGAAAGGGGAAGGAAAUCUCUUAAAGCCAAUCGUAGUUCGGAUUGAGGGCUGCAACUCGCCCUCAUGAAGCUGGAAUCCGUAGUAAUCGCGUUUCAAUAUAGCGCAGUGAAUACGUCCCUGCUCCUUGCACACACCGCCCGUCAAACCACCCGAGUGAGGUAUGGGUGAGGGCACGGACUCUGUGCCGUGUUCGAACCUGUGCUUUGCAAGGGGGGUU